AACUAAGUUUUUUAAACCCUGCGGUUUUUGUUAUGCAAUUACCAAUAUAUAUUUUACAUUUUUUGCUGCAAUCUUUAUAUAUUCUUCAUUAACUGGGCUUAAAUAUGAAGAAGUCGGUUUUAAUUUGCUGACAUCUUGGUUUGAAGAUUGAAAACAAAAGAUUGGUCAUUGCGUCAAUACCUUGAGAUGAUUGUAACCUUUUUGAAUAAAGAAAUGUUAUCGAGAAAGCGAUAAUCGCAAACGAUAGGUCAAUUUGAACAAGUAUUUUUGUUCUAAUUUUAUGAAAAUGUUCUGUCAGAAAUAAAUUUUUGAAAUGCUGGAUGGAAUUUGUUUUAAUAGAUGUUUCUGCAUGGAAAAAAUUGAUGCUGACUAUACAUCAUGAAUGGUGGAUAUUAUUGAAAAUAAAUUUCUUGACAAAGAUCAUGACAUUCGAGAUGAUAUACAUGAUGUAUUCAAGAGUUUGUUGUUGAUUUGUGAAGGCUACAGAACAGUGGGUCCAAAUAAAAAAAUGCCAUAUCCCCA